rnacentral:rRNA from 1 species
UGGGGAAUUUUGGACAAUGGGCGAAAGCCUGAUCCAGCAAUGCCGCGUGUGUGAAGAAGGCCUUCGGGUUGUAAAGCACUUUUGUCCGGAAAGAAAUCCUUGGCUCUAAUACAGUCGGGGGAUGACGGUACCGGAAGAAUAAGCACCGGCUAACUACGUGCCAGCAGCCGCGGUAAUACGUAGGGUGCAAGCGUUAAUCGGAAUUACUGGGCGUAAAGCGUGCGCAGGCGGUUUGCUAAGACCGAUGUGAAAUCCCCGGGCUCAACCUGGGAACUGCAUUGGUGACUGGCAGGCUAGAGUAUGGCAGAGGGGGGUAGAAUUCCACGUGUAGCAGUGAAAUGCGUAGAGAUGUGGAGGAAUACCGAUGGCGAAGGCAGCCCCCUGGGCCAAUACUGACGCUCAUGCACGAAAGCGUGGGGAGCAAACAGGAUUAGAUACCCUGGUAGUCCACGCCCUAAACGAUGUCAACUAGUUGUUGGGGAUUCAUUUCCUAGUAACGUAGCUAACGCGUGAAGUUGACCG